AUUCAACUGACGACUCCCAAAUAGAACGAAAUGCGCGUCCUGGUU
rnacentral:hammerhead_ribozyme from 1 species